UGGGGAAUAUUGCACAAUGGGCGCAAGCCUGAUGCAGCCAUGCCGCGUGUAUGAAGAAGGCCUUCGGGUUGUAUAGUACUUUCAGCGAGGAGGAAGGCGUUGUGGUUAAUAACCGCAACGAUUGACGUUACUCGCAGAAGAAGCACCGGCUAACUCCGUGCCAGCAGCCGCGGUAAUACGGAGGGUGCAAGCGUUAAUCGGAAUUACUGGGCGUAAAGCGCACGCAGGCGGUCUGUCAAGUCGGAUGUGAAAUCCCCGGGCUCAACCUGGGAACUGCAUCCGAAACUGGCAGGCUAGAGUCUUGUAGAGGGGGGUAGAAUUCCAGGUGUAGCGGUGAAAUGCGUAGAGAUCUGGAGGAAUACCGGUGGCGAAGGCGGCCCCCUGGACAAAGACUGACGCUCAGGUGCGAAAGCGUGGGGAGCAAACA
rnacentral:rRNA from 1 species